rnacentral:lncRNA from 1 species
UCUGUCAAAACAUGAUUGAAAAAAACUGAACAGAUUCAACAAUACCCAUCUAUACAGUAAGCUAGGGUUGGCUAGAGCAAAAGCUAGAAGUGGCCAAUUUGAUUCAAAAAAGUAUGAGCAUUCAAAUUAGAGAUUGAGGAUUCGAAUGGACACAAAAGAUCUGCUGAAAAAUGAAUAAAAAAAUUGAAUCGAUUCAACAAUAAAUGUCUGUAC